rnacentral:sRNA from 1 species
GGAGUUCACUGGGGACUCUGCUUCCACUCCUCCUCUUAACCAGGAAUCUAGAGAAUGACAUGAAUUAUUGCUUUGGAAGAAAACCUCACAUCUCCACAAGACCUUGCUUCCCAAAUAAGACAUGUCAGAAGAUGCUGAUAAUCCUCACUUCUGCCUUACAAAUCGCUCAUAGGUGCAUCUGCAGGAUCUUACUUGGAUCCAGAGUGCUAGCUGCAAAAGCUUCUGGGAAUUGUACACUUAACUCUGAAGUUUUAUCUUUAAUAUAGGAAGUGCGGCGUAUGAUGCUGUCCUUGACAGAAAUGUGGCCAUUAAGAAGCUCAGCAGACCCUUUCAGAACCAAACACAUGCCAAGAGAGCGUACCGGGAGCUGGUCCUCAUGAAGUGUGUGAACCAUAAAAACAUUAUUAGUUUAUUAAAUGUCUUCACACCCCAGAAAACGCUGGAGGAGUUCCAAGAUGUUUACUUAGUAAUGGAACUGAUGGAUGCCAACUUAUGUCAAGUGAUUCAGAUGGAAUUAGACCAUGAGCGAAUGUCUUACCUGCUGUACCAAAUGUUGUGUGGCAUUAAGCACCUCCAUUCUGCUGGAAUUAUUCACAGGGAUUUAAAACCAAGUAACAUUGUAGUCAAGUCUGAUUGCACAUUGAAAAUCCUGGACUUUGGACUGGCCAGGACAGCAGGCACAAGCUUCAUGAUGACUCCAUAUGUGGUGACACGUUAUUACAGAGCCCCUGAGGUCAUCCUGGGGAUGGGCUACAAGGAGAACGUGGAUAUAUGGUCUGUGGGAUGCAUUAUGGGAGAAAUGGUUCGCCACAAAAUCCUCUUUCCAGGAAGGGACUGUAUCCUUGUACCUUUUGCUACAGCUUUACCUGUUUUGUUCUCUCUCCCUUUUAAACACAUAAUGAUUUUACCAGGAGAGUAAAGAUAGAAGCAAAAAGUUGGGACUUCCUACCAACAACUGAGCAGUCAGAUAACCUCUCAAACUAUGAAUAUCAGACACAAGGCUGAGGGCUGAUUCAAGUUAUUUAUCGGCAGAAGAAUUACACAAUUUUAAGCA